rnacentral:rRNA from 1 species
CAGCCGCCACGGUAAUACGUAGGGUGCGAGCGUUAAUCGGAUUUACUGGGCGUAAAGCGUGCGCAGGCGGCCCGUUAAGACAGGUGUGAAAUCCCUGGGCUCAACCUAGGAAUUGCGCUUGUGACUGGCGGGCUCGAGUACGGUAGAGGGGGGUGGAAUUCCUGGUGUAGCAGUGAAAUGCGUAGAGAUCAGGAGGAACACCGAUGGCGAAGGCAGCCCCCUGGGCCUGUACUGACGCUCAUGCACGAAAGCGUGGGGAGCAAACAGGAUUAGAUACCCUGGUAGUCCACGCCCUAAACGAUGGGUACUAGCCGUUUGGUGCGCGAUAGCGCUGAGUGGCGAAGCUAACGCGAGAAGUACCCCGCCUGGGGAGUACGGCCGCAAGGUUGAAACUUAAGGAAUUGGCGGG